rnacentral:rRNA from 1 species
GACGAACGCUGGCGGCGUGCUUAACACAUGCAAGUCGAACGGAAAGGCCCUGCUUGCAGGGUACUCGAGUGGCGAACGGGUGAGUAACACGUGGGUGAUCUGCCCUGCACUUCGGGAUAAGCCUGGGAAACUGGGUCUAAUACCGGAUAGGAGCCAUUUUUAGUGUGAUGGUUGGAAAGUUUUUUCGGUGUAGGAUGAGCUCGCGGCCUAUCAGCUUGUUGGUGGGGUAAUGGCCUACCAAGGCGGCGACGGGUAGCCGGCCUGAGAGGGUGGACGGCCACAUUGGGACUGAGAUACGGCCCAGACUCCUACGGGAGGCAGCAGUGGGGAAUAUUGCACAAUGGGCGCAAGCCUGAUGCAGCGACGCCGCGUGGGGGAUGACGGCCUUCGGGUUGUAAACUCCUUUCGCUAGGGACGAAGCUUUUUGUGACGGUACCUAGAUAAGAAGCACCGGCUACUACGUG